AAAAAAAAAAAAAAAAACAACCAACGAAGAGAAUAAGAAUAAUAAUCAUAAUAAUAAUAAUUAGAUAUUAUUUUCGUAGCCAACAGGCCUUUCUCACGAGCCGGGGUAUCGCCGUACGCGACGAUCGACUCGCGCGAUAAAACGCGAUUGCGUUCAUUGCGAGCGAGAUAAUGAUUAGGAAAAAAAUAAUAAUAAAAAAAGUCGCGGGCCGAUGAUAAAAACCGCGCACAACGCCAUUAUCGGUCGUCGCCGCCGCAUUAUCACGUUUUCGUAUUUUCUCGUAUUA